GACGGAGGGGGCUAGCGUUGUUCGGAAUUACUGGGCGUAAAGAGCGCGUAGGCGGUUUAGUAAGUUGGAAGUGAAAGCCCGAGGCUUAACCUCGGAAUUGCUUUCAAAACUGCUAGGCUAGAGUGUAGUAGGGGAUGAUGGAAUUCCUAGUGUAGAGGUGAAAUUCUUAGAUAUUAGGAGGAACACCGGUGGCGAAGGCGGUCAUCUGGGCUACAACUGACGCUGAGGCGCGAAAGCGUGGGGAGCAAACAGG
rnacentral:rRNA from 1 species